CCGCGAUGUGUUGUGUUGUUAAAAUCAGAAGGUGACAUCAUUGUAAACUGUCUGCCAGCUGGCUCUAUAACAGAAAGGCAGGCAACCGCGAUGUGUUGUGAUGUGAAAGUCACAAGGCUGCCAACUGCCAUUAUACAUAUGUGGGGUCAUCCAUAAAUGGAUUCAUCCUAAUGUACACUUAUCAUACAUACGCUUACAUUUUAUGUGACAAUAGUAUAUGAAGUCGAUUUCAUCAACUGCAGGCUACCAACAAGUGAGACAAAUCACACGCAGCCAAGGCAAACACUACUGUACUGAAGCAAACUGCUGUACAGAAGUACGUACAUAAGUACAUAUAUAUUUAUGUAUGCAUAAGCGAACAUACUUACAUAUGUAUGUGGUAAUUAAUUACAUGUAUAAAGCUAAGCAAGUAAAUAUAUACACACACAUACAUAUGUAUAUACACAGCGAAGCCAAGAAAUUGGCGUUAAUAUGCUGUAUUAAAUAUGAAAUAAAGUAACGAAUGAAAAUCGAAUAAAGAAAGUGGGAGGAUGAUGUUUUGCGGGUGGAUUUGGCGG